UUUUAUGCCUGGAGUUUUGUGAAAAUCUCCAUUAUCAGUCGGCGGGUAGUCCACCCAUCUAAAAUUAUUUGUUGAUUGUCAGAGAAAUAAUUUUCCCCCAAGGAAGUCCAGCACUGACAUAGCACUGAUUUAAUUGUUAAACAACUCUGCUUAUUUUUCCACAGCCUUUUGGCCAUAUGUAGCCUUUCUGUGUUCUGAGCGGGUUCCUAGCUGCGGUGGUGCUAUCCAUGUCAAUCAGUGUACACUUGACGGGAAAGCCUGCUUCCAGGGGACUCAGUUUCCCCCUUUGUGUUGGGAGGAUGAUAACAAGACAGUCAUCUGCUGGAGGCAGAUAGGAGCUUCCAUUGUCCUGUCAUGAUUCCCUAAUAGAACUGUGCUCACCAGCAAUGUUUCUUUAGACCAGAAGCUUCCUGCUUCCCGAAGCCACAAUUUCAUUUUCUUUUUCUUGUCUUUUCAGGGCCUCGCCUAUGGCAUAUGAAAGUUCCCAGACUAAGGGUCAAAUCAGAGUUGUAGCUGCCGGCCACAUCAACUCCAGAUCUGAGCCAUGCCUGUGACUUACACCACAGCUCAUGGCAAUGUCAAAUCUUUAACCCACUGAAUGAGUCCAGGGUUUGAAACUGUGUCCUCAUGGAUGCUAGUUAGAUUCGUUUCCGCUGAGCCACAGAGGGAACUCCUGAAGUCAUGAUUUCUUAUUGCAAAGCUUCAGUAUGUAAAGUGGCAAAUGAUCAAUGUCCCUUAAGAGGAAACUAGAAAGCACCUUGAAUUAUUUCUGUUAGUGCAUGGGAGCCCUCUGAGCUUGGGCAUUUUUCUGAUCAGUCUGUUUGGCAGUCAGGAGGCCAAAGUUAGUGUUGGCCCAGAGGUGCGCCACUGUGGAGAGAGAGAGGGUGAGUAGGCGACAUCUCUCCUUGUUUAAAGUCACAUGGGGACCCUCAAUGGCAUCCCUCUGAUGUUUAGACCAGGUUACUCUUUCCCUCAAAGAGGAAUGUUAAGCUCACUCUACUCGUUUACAACUGAAUCUGCUGUAUACAACUGGACUUACUGUCUUUUCAAUUUUUAAGUUUUAGUAAUGAAGUAGCUUUGAAAACCAGCCUUUUUGCUUUAUGAAAACGGGGCCAUUUAAAGGUGGGGGUGACAAAGAAAGGGGCCUGGAUUAGGUUUAAAGGUAGCAGCCGGGAGAGUGAUGGGUGAGUGACUGUUUGGAUAAGACUUCUUGUCAUUUUCCUCCUUCCUGAAAACACAGAGGUUCAGCUUCCCAGGAAACCAGAACACUGCCAAUGUAAUGCUUUCAUCCUGCCAUUCUCUAGGUCUCAAUCAAUGAAACCAUGUAAUUUCAUUCGUCUGCAGUAAACAUUCUAUCUCAUUUAAAACUUUAUCAACGACCUUGACUUUUCACAUUUGAUCAAUUACUAGGUGAACAAGUUUUCUUCCCUAAAUGGUCCUUUCCAUCCUCAUCAUAAUUGCUUAAUCCAGGACCCCACAGCUUCCUUGCCUAGACUCUGGUGUAGUUCUCCCAGCUUGCUUCCUUGGACUCAGUCUCUUAGUUCUAAUCCAUUGUGUGUGCUUGUUUGAGGACUUUUCCUUCUUCUACCCCCAUUCGCAUCAUUAUCUUCCCUGCCUUAACCAGUGCUGGGUGCAUGGAGUCUCAGCUCUACUGCUUGAGAUUCUCCAGCACUCAUUUGCUGCACAUGCAUUUAUUGAGCACCAACAAUGCAUCAGGCACAGUACUAGGGCCUGGACAUAAGAAAAACAUGCAAGCCCCAUUUUUUUAAUUUUUAUUUUUUAUGAUUUUAUUUUUUUCCCCAUUAUUGUUGGUUUACAGUGUUCUGUGAAUUUCUACUGUAUGGCAAAGUGACCUGUACAUACAUAUAUGUGUAUAUAUAUUCUAUAUCUCACAUUAUCCUCCAUCACAAGUGACCAGAUAUAGUUCCCUGUGCUAUACAGCAGGAUCUCAUUACUUAUCCACUCCAAACAUGACAAUAGUUUGCAUCUGUUAACCCCAACCCCCCUGUCCAUCCCACUCCAUCUCCCUCCCCUUUGGCAACCACGAGUCUGUUCUCCAUGUCCAUGAGUUUCUUUUCUAUGGAAAGGCUCGUCUGUGCCAUAUAUUAGAUUCCAGAUAUAAGUGAAAUCAUGUGGUAUUUGUUUUUCUCUUUCUGACUUAAUUCAAUUAAUAUGAGAGCAUCUAAUUCCAUCCAUGUUCUGCAAAUGGCAUUAUUUUGUUCUUUUUGGGGCUGAGUAGUAUUCCAUUGUGUAUAUAUACCACAUCUUCUAAAUGCAUUCAUCUGAUGAAAAACAUUUAGGUUGUUUCCAUGUCUUGGCUAUUGGGAAUAGUGCUGCAAUGAACAUACAGGUGCAUGCAUCUUUUUCAAUGCAAGUUUUGUCUGGAUAUGUCCCCAAUAGUGGGAUUGCUGGGUCAUAUGGUAGUUCUUCGUAUAGUUUUCUGAGGUACCUCCAUACUGUUUUUCAUAGUGGUUGAACCAAUUUACAUUCCCACCAAGAGUGUAGGAGGGUUCCCUUUUCUCCACACCCUCUCCAGCAUUUAUUAUUUGUUGACUUGUUAAUGACGGCCAUUCCGACAGGUGUGAGGUGUUACCUCAUGGUAGUUUUGAUUUUCAUUUCUCUGAUAAUCAGGGAUGUUGAGCAUUUUUUAUGUGCUUGUUGGCCAUCUGUAUAUCUUCCUUGGAGAAAUAUCUAUUCAUGUCUUUUGCACAUUCUUCCACUGGGUUGUUGGCUCUUUUAUUGUUGAGUUGUAUAAGUUGUUUGUAUAUUUUAGAGAUCAAGCCCUUGUCAGUUGCAUCAUUUGAAACUAUUUUAUCCCAUUCCAUAGGUUGUCUUUUUGGUUUUUUUUGGUGGUUUCCUUUUCUGUGCAAAAGCUUGUCAGUUUGAUUAGGUCCUAUUGGUUUAUUUUUGCUUGUAUUUCUGUUGCCUUGGGAGACUGACCUAUGAAAAUAUUUUUAAGGUUGAUGUCAGAGAAUGUUUUGCCUGUGUUCUCUUGCAGAAGUUUGAUGGUGUCUUGUCUUACAUUUAAGUCUUUAAGCCAUUUUGAGUUUAUUUUUGUACAUGGUGUGAGGGUGUGUUUCAGUUUAUUUACAUGUGGCUGUCCAGUUUUCCAAAUGCCACUUGCUGAAAUGUUCUUGUCUCUUUUGUCAAAGGUUAAUUGACCAUAGGUGCCUGGGUUUAUUUCUGGGUUCUCUAUUCUGUUCCAUUGGUCUGUAUAUCUGUUUUGGUCCAGCACCACACUGUCUUGAUUACUGUAGCUUUGUAAUAUUGCCUGAAGUCUAGGGGAGUUAUGCCUCCUGCUUGGUUUUUGUUUCUCAAGAUUGACAAGCCCCACUUUUGAUGAGCAUCAGUUCUUGUUGAGGAGAGAGACAUAAAGUGUACAGGGAAGUUCUGGGGUAGGGAAGUCUUUGCCAAGAAGAUGACCUUGGAACCUGGUCUUGAGGGAGUGGAAUUCAUCAGAAAAAAGGUAUUCCCAAGGAAAAGUAACUGUGAGUAUAGAUUCGAGAGGUGGCAUGAAUUCAUAUGUUAGUUCUGGAUGUCUUGAGGGUGGGUGUUAGUAAGAGUGGCCGCAGUUAAGACUUGACAGUAGGGAAGAGGCAGGGCUGCAGCCAGGCUUCAUGGUGGUUCUGCUCUCCCCAGCAGAGAGCUUAGGCUCCAACCAGGUCUGCCUUGUGCUAUGUUGCUCCUUUUCCCAGCUAGGGCCUCACUGGCAUGUUCCCCUCAUUGGAACGUGUCAUUUUCCCAGAUCUUCCUAUCUUUUAAGGUACAAUUGUGCUCUAAGAAUACUUGCUCUAAGGAGACUUCCUAGACUUCAUGAACUCUCCUUACUGUGCCCUCUGUUUGUAAACUUUUUUAAAUGGUAAAAUUACAUAACAAAAAAUUUACUAUUUUGGGAGUUCCCAUGGUGGCUCAGCAGUAACAAACCUGACCAGUAUCCAUGAAGAUGUGGAUCCUUAACCCACUGAGCAAGGGCAGGGACCGAACCCGCAACCUCAUGGUUCCUAGUCGGAUUCGUUAACCACUGCGCCACGACGGGAACUCCUGAAGUUAGAUUUUAGAAUGUGAAAGUGACUUAAUUAGAUUGAGUUCAAUGAUUUUCAAACUUGAAAAAAAUUCAUAGUUCCUUUCUUUAAAGAAAAGCAAGUGUAGAAGCAACAGAUAAAACAAAUGAGUAUGAACUGUGGGAGGAGUUCCUGUUGUGGCUCAGCGGAAACAAGCCAACUAGUAUCCAUGAGGAUGUGGGUUUUCUCCUUGGCCUUGCUCAGUGGGUUAAGGAUCCCAUAUUGCUCUGGCUGGGGUGUAGGCCGGCAGCUAUAGCUCCAAUUUGAC
rnacentral:lncRNA from 1 species